rnacentral:rRNA from 1 species
UACGGAGAGUGCAAACGUUGUUCGGAUUCACUGGGCGUAAAGGGCACGUAGGCGGCUCGGCAAAUCGGUCGUGGAAUCUCGACGCUUACCGUCGAAACGGCGGCCGAAAAUACCGGGCUCGAGGGCGUGAGGGGCCACUGGAACUCCUGGUGAAGCGGUGAAAUGCGUAGAUAUCAGGAGGAACGCCGGAGGCGAAAGCGAGUGACUGGCGCGUUCCUGACGCUGAGGUGCGAAAGCUAGGGGAGCAAACAGG